UGCCAGCAGCCGCGGUAAUACGAAGGGGCCUAGCGUAGUUCGGAAUUACUGGGCUUAAAGAGUUCGUAGGUGGUUGAAAAAGUUGGUGGUGAAAUCCCAGAGCUUAACUCUGGAACUGCCCUCAAAACUUUUCAGCUAGAGUUUGAUAGAGGAAAGCAGAAUUUCUAGUGUAGAGGUGAAAUUCGUAGAUAUUAGAAAGAAUACCAAUUGCGAAGGCAGCUUUCUGGAUCAUUACUGACACUGAGGAACGAAAGCAUGGGUAGCGAAGAGGAUUAGAUA
rnacentral:rRNA from 1 species